AGAGGAAAAUGGAAAAAAUCGGGCUGCUAACCUUGAUUUUGGGUAGUUCAAUUCUAUCCUUCCUCUU
rnacentral:tRNA from 1 species